GCUCCGAUGGCAUAGUGGUUAGAGCGUCCGCCUCGGAUGCGGGAGUUCGAGGGUUCGAUCCCCGAUCUUACCU